CCAGUCGCAUGCCGUAGACCCGAAGCCGAGUGAGCUAUCCAUGGGCAGUGUGAAGCGGAGGUAAGACUCUGUGGAGGCGCGAACCGACUUCAGUUGAAAAUGGAGCGGAUGACCUGUGGAUGGGGGUGAAAGGCCAAUCAAACUCGGUGAUAGCUGGUUCUCCGCGAAAUGCAUUUAGGUGCAGCGUCGUGCGUUCAACGAUGGGGGUAGAGCACUGAAUGGGCUAGGGGUCCUACAAGACUACCGACCCCAAUCAAACUCCGAAUACCAUCGUUCCAGAGCACGGCAGUGAGACCUCGGGGGAUGAGCUUCGAGGUCGAGAGGGAAACAGCCCAGACCGCCGGCUAAGGUCCCAAAAUCUGAACUAAGUGGUAAACGAUGUGAGAUUGCGAAGACAGCCAGGAGGUUGGCUUGGAAGCAGCCAUCCUUGAAAGAGUGCGUAACAGCUCACUGGUCGAGUGAUCUUGCGCGGACAAUGUAACGGGGCUCAAGUUCAGUACCGAAGCCGCGGAUGCGACUCUUUGAGUCGUGUGGUAGCGGAGCGUCGAGCGUGCAGCGAAGCGGCGGGACAACCCAGCCGUGGAGCGCGUUCGAGUGCGAAUGUUGGCAUGAGUAGCGAAUGAGGGGUGAGAACCCCCUCCGCCGUAUGUCCAAGGGUUCCUGGGCGAGGCCAAUCCUCCCAGGGUGAGUCGGGAGCUAAGGCGAGGCCGAGAGGCGUAGUCGAUGCACAACUGGUUGAUAUUCCAGUACCACCAUGUUCGCGUCCGUCCCAAUACUCUGUUGCUAAGGGGCUGUGUUGACUUCGGUCAACGCGAACCGACCCACAUUGUUGCGGGAAGCUGUAGGGGGACGCAGGAAGGUAGAUGAACCCGGUGAAUGGUAGAACCGGGGUAAGCGUGUAGGAGGAGGACCAGGUAAAUCCGGGCCUCAUAAACUCUGAGACGUGAUACCGAGCCGCUUCAGGCGAAGUCAUUGAUCCUAUGCUGCCUAGAAAAGCCCAGCAGCGAGUUGACAUGGUGCCCGUACCCCAAACCAACACAGGUGGACAGGUAGAGCAUACCAAGGCGAGUGGGAUAACUAUGGUUAAGGAACUCGGCAAAUUGCCUCCGUAACUUCGGGAGAAGGAGGACCCCAGUAGCGUGAUGAGACUUGCUCUCUGAGCGUGAAGGGGUGGCACAAAAUUGAGGGAAGCGACUGUUUACCAAAAACACAGCAGCGUGCUAAGCCGUAAGGCGCUGUAUACGCUGUGACUCCUGCCCGGUGCUGGAAGGUUACGGGGAUGGGUUAGUCCUUCGGGACGAAGCUCUGAACCUAAGCCCCAGUAAACGGCGGCCGUAACUAUAACGGUCCUAAGGUAGCGAAAUUCCUUGUCGGGUAAGUUCCGACCUGCAC
rnacentral:rRNA from 1 species